rnacentral:miRNA from 1 species
UAACUCUGUCUGGUAACAGAUGUU